rnacentral:rRNA from 1 species
AGAGUUUGAUUAUGGCUCAGAACGAACGCUGGCGGCGCGCCUAAUACAUGCAAGUCGAGCGAGAAGACGUAGCAAUACGUUUGUAAAGCGGCGAACGGGUGAGGAAUACAUGGGUAACCUACCCUCGAGUGGGGAAUAACUAGCCGAAAGGUUAGCUAAUACCGCGUACGCUUCUUGGACUUCGGUUCAGGGAGGAAAGCGAUACCGUGGGUAUCGCGCUCUUGGAUGGGCUCAUGUCCUAUCAGCUUGUUGGUGAGGUAACGGCUCACCAAGGCUUCGACGGGUAGCUGGUCUGAGAGGACGAUCAGCCACACUGGCACUGCGACACGGGCCAGACUCCUACGGGAGGCAGCAGUAAGGAAUAUUGCGCAAUGGGCGAAAGCCUGACGCAGCGACGCCGCGUGGGGGAUGAAGGUCUUCGGAUUGUAAACCCCUUUCGGGAGGGAAGAUGGAAUGGGGUAACCCAUUCGGACGGUACCUCCAGAAGCAGCCACGGCUAACUUCGUGCCAGCAGCCGCGGUAAUACGAAGGUGGCAAGCGUUGUUCGGAUUUACUGGGCGUACAGGGAGCGUAGGCGGUUCGGUAAGCCCUCUGUGAAAUCUCCAGGCUUAACCUGGAACAGUCGGAGGGGACUGCUGGGCUAGAGGACGGGAGAGGAGCGCGGAAUUCCCGGUGUAGCGGUGAAAUGCGUAGAGAUCGGGAGGAAGGCCGGUGGCGAAGGCGGCGCUCUGGAACGUUUCUGACGCUGAGGCUCGAAAGCGUGGGGAGCAAACAGGAUUAGAUACCCUGGUAGUCCACGCCUUAAACUAUGAAUACUAAGUGUCGGCGGGUUACCGCCGGUGCCGCAGCUAACGCAUUAAGUAUUCCGCCUGGGAAGUACGGCCGCAAGGUUGAAACUCAAAUGAAUUGACGGGG